CGUCUAUAUACGUAUAGCAUAUCAAUAAGCGGAGGAAAAGAAACUAACAAGGAUUCCCUUAGUAACGGCGAGUGAAGCGGGAAGAGCUCAAAUUUGAAAUCUUCAGGGUUCUACCUUGACGAAUUGUAGUUUAUAGAAGUGUUUUCUGUUAGUAGAGUGGCAAAAGUUCUUUGGAAUAGGACAUCAUAGAGGGUGAGAAUCCCGUAUUUGGUCAUUCUUUCUAGCUUUGUGAUACACUUUCAACGAGUCGGAUUGUUUGGGAAUGCAGUCCAAAAUGGGUGGUAAAUUUCAUCUAAAGCUAAAUAUUGGCGAGAGACCGAUAGCGAACAAGUACCGUGAGGGAAAGAUGAAAAGAACUUUGAAAAGAGAGUAAAACAGUACGUGAAAUUGUCAAAAGGGAAGCGUUUGACACCAGUGUUGUUUUUCCGAAAAUCAAUUACGAAUGUUUUGUUUUUAAGAAGUUAUGACUUCAUCGGCUUGCUUCUUUCUUUACGAAACUUUCUUAAUGCACUUUUCGGUUAACAAGUCAACAUCAAUUUCUUUUGUUGUAAAAGGGUAUGAGGAAGGUGGCUUUCUUUUCGGAGAAAGUGUUUAUAGCCUUGUACCUCUGCAAUCGGAGAGAUUGAGGGUCUGCAGCGUAGAUCCUUCGGGGUUAGAUACAUUUGUGCUAAGCUAUAGUUCUUCAUAGACAACUUGUUGACUAUAGUCAAGUCCUGUAGCUUACUCGCUUAUGCUAUUUUACCUACGCUUAGGAUGUUGACGCGCGUGUGUGCGUG
rnacentral:rRNA from 1 species